GAUGAACGCUGGCGGCGUGCCUAAUACAUGCAAGUCGAGCGAACAGACGAGGAGCUUGCUCCUCUGACGUUAGCGGCGGACGGGUGAGUAACACGUGGAUAACCUACCUAUAAGACUGGGAUAACUUCGGGAAACCGGAGCUAAUACCGGAUAAUAUAUUGAACCGCAUGGUUCAAUAGUGAAAGACGGUUUUGCUGUCACUUAUAGAUGGAUCCGCGCCGCAUUAGCUAGUUGGUAAGGUAACGGCUUACCAAGGCGACGAUGCGUAGCCGACCUGAGAGGGUGAUCAGCCCCACUGGAACUGAGACACGGGCCAGAAUCCCAAGGGAGGGCACAGGGGGGAAAAUUCCCCAAAGGGGGGAAGCCUGAGCGAGCCAACCCCGGUGGGUGAAGAAAGGCUUUGGGUUGGAAAAACUUUUUUUUGGGGAAAAAAAAAAGGGGGAAGAAACUAUGCCGUUCUGAACGGAACCAAAUCAGAAAGCCACGGCAAACUAGUG
rnacentral:rRNA from 1 species